ensembl:lncRNA
GUCACUGCAGACCACUGAUGCAUAGGACCUCAGGAAUGUGUUUUCUGGGACAAACGGGCAAUUAUGUAUUUUUAAUAAUCAAUUCUUACAGCUGAGCAAGAGUUAAAACGAUGUCAAAAACUAACCUGAAUAGUAGCAAAUGUUAUUUUUGGAACCUAGGAGGGAGCCCAGGGAAGAGGAGGGAUGAGCAGAGGCUGGCACAUGGGGAGCUGUGCCUGCUGACCCCUGGCACGGGACCUAACUGCUGCAGAGCCCCAUCGCUCCACAGCAUCGCUCCUAACUUUUGUCAUGCUGCAAUGAAGCAUCCCUGGAGUUCUGCAAUGGUUCCUAUGUGGCCGGAGUGGCUUUCUUAUUUCAACCUCUUGAGCAUCGAUUGUUGAGUCGCUUCCUCAUCAUUAAAAGCUCGUCAGGGACAAGCUCUGGAGUUCAGAAGCUCUGUGCAGUCACCACGGCCUUCGGAUGCCCCAAGGGCACCAGCAGAGAGGAACGAGUGUGGCGAGAGCGCAGGCAGCUGUGAGCACACUGCAAUGUCAUUGCUGGCUUUGCUGAUCUCAUGUACUCCUCCACCAUAAAAAGCUGCUCGCAGUUACAGUGAUGUUUCUAGAAGAGGAAACUUCAGGGUUGAGUUUCUCCUUUAGACGGUGCAAGUGCUCCCUGUAUUCUAUUCUUCAACCAUACAAAUGCUUAUAAAAUAGAAAUGUGAAUUGCCUCGGUGCUUUUAAAUACCUUAAAAAUAAUAAUUCAGGGACUCCUGUAUGAGAUGGAGCUGUCCCUCACUGCUUUAACCUGUGGAGUAGGUUAGCAUAACAUGGAAUCAAUU